CUCAGGGAGGUAGUGACAAGAAAUAACAACACUGGAAAUUUUAUUUCUAGUGAUUGGAAUGAUGGGAAUUUAAACCCCUUUCAGAGUAACAAUUGGAGGGCAAGUCUGGUGCCAGCAGCCGCGGUAAUUCCAGCUCCAAUAGCGUAUAUUAAAGUUGUUGCAGUUAAAAAGCUCGUAGUUGGAUGUCUGCUGGAAGCAAUCAGUCCGCCCUAUUUGUAGGGUGUGCACUUGAUGAAUUCUGGCAUCUAUGUCCUAAUGUGAUAGAUACGGCGGUGUAUAUGGGUUAAUCCUAUAUACCCGUUUUUGUAUAUUAUAUUGGGAUAAUACCGUUACUUUGAGAAAAUUAGAGUGUUUGAAGCAGGCUAAUUGCCUUGAAUACUGCAGCAUGGAAUAACAAUAUAGGAUUUCGGUUCUAUUUUGUUGGUUUCUAGGACUGAAAUAAUGAUUAAUAGGGACAGUUGGGGGCAUUCGUAUUUAACUGUCAGAGGUGAAAUUCUUAGAUUUGUUAAAGACGAACUACUGCGAAAGCAUUUGCCAAAGAUGUUUUCACUAAUCAAGAACGAAAGUUAGGGGCUCGAAGACGAUCAGAUACCGUCGUAGUCUUAACCAUAAACUAUGCCGACUAGAGAUAGGAAAAUGUCAUUUUUCUGACUU
rnacentral:rRNA from 1 species